rnacentral:rRNA from 1 species
CAGGCCUAACACAUGCAAGUCGAACGAUGAUCAGGAGCUUGCUCCUGUGAUUAGUGGCGAACGGGUGAGUAACACGUGAGUAACCUGCCCCUGACUCUGGGAUAAGCGUUGGAAACGACGUCUAAUACUGGAUAUGAUCACUGGCCGCAUGGUCUGGUGGUGGAAAGAUUUUUUGGUUGGGGAUGGACUCGCGGCCUAUCAGCUUGUUGGUAAGGUAACGGCUUACCAAGGCGACGAUGACUAGGGGAGCUGAGAGGCUGGUCCCCCACACGGGCACUGAGAUACGGGCCCGACUCCUACGGGAGGCAGCAGUAGGGAAUAUUGGGCAAUGGGCGAGAGCCUGACCCAGCCAUGCCGCGUGCAGGAAGAAGGCUUUCUGAGUCGUAAACUGCUUUUGACAGGGAAGAAUAAGCGCUACGUG